rnacentral:rRNA from 1 species
UACGUAGGGUGCAAGCGUUUAAUCGGAAUUACUGGGCGUAAAGCGUGCGCAGGCGGCUAUGCAAGACAGAUGUGAAAUCCCCGGGCUCAACCUGGGAACUGCAUUUGUGACUGCAUGGCUAGAGUACGGUAGAGGGGGAUGGAAUUCCGCGUGUAGCAGUGAAAUGCGUAGAGAUGUGGAGGAAUACCGAUGGCGAAGGCAGCCCCCUGGGCCAAUACGUGACGCUCAUGCACGAAAGCGUGGGGAGCAAACAGG